ACCUGGGUGGCUUAGUCGUUAAGUAUCUGACUUCGGCUCAGGUCAUGAUCUCACAGUUCAUGAGUUCAAGUCCCAUAUCAGGUG
rnacentral:tRNA from 1 species